rnacentral:rRNA from 1 species
AUGCUCUGGAGGUGGACGGCCAGCGGCACUUACACGGCGCAGUCCUGCUACGCUGCGACCUUUCAUGGAUCCACAAGAUGCCCCUCAUGGAAGCUGACAUGGAAGAGCUGGGCACCACCCAGAGUCAGAUUCUUCCAUUGGCUAGCCAGCCAGGACCGGUGCUGGACAGCAGAGCGGCUGGCCCGUCGCGGCCUGCAACACCACCCCAGAUGCCUCCUCUGCGAUCAAGAGCCGGAGACCAUCCAGCACCUGCUCCUGACCUGCCCUUUCGCGCAGCAAGCCUGGCACGCCACCCUGGAC